rnacentral:rRNA from 1 species
AAGCACUUUAAUCGAUUUCUUCGGAUUGAAAUUUUAGUGACUGAGUGGCGGACGGGUGAGUAACGCGUGGGUAACCUGCCUCACACAGGGGGAUAACAGUUGGAAACGGCUGCUAAUACCGCAUAAGCGCACGGUUCCGCAUGGAACAGUGUGAAAAACUCCGGUGGUAUGAGAUGGACCCGCGUCUGAUUAGGUAGUUGGUGGGGUAACGGCCUACCAAGCCGACGAUCAGUAGCCGACCUGAGAGGGUGACCGGCCACAUUGGGACUGAGACACGGCCCAGACUCC